UACGAAGGGUGCAAGCGUUAUUCGGAUUUAUUGGGCGUAAAGGGUUCGUAGGCGGGAUUAUAAGUCAAGUGUGAAAUCCCCAAGCUUAACUUGGGACGUGCAUUUGAAACUGUGAUUCUUGAGUCAUUGAGAGGGUGGUGGAAUUGUUGGUGUAGGAGUGACAUCCGUAGAGAUCAACAGGAACAUCAGAGGCGAAAGCGGCCACCUGGCAAUGUACG
rnacentral:rRNA from 1 species